AGGACGAACGCUGGCGGCGUGCUUAACACAUGCAAGUCGAACGGUGAUGGCCAGCUUGCUGGUCUGAUCAGUGGCGAACGGGUGAGUAACACGUGAGCAACCUGCCCUUCACUCUGGGAUAACCACCGGAAACGGUGGCUAAUACCGGAUAUGAGACGUACACGCAUGUGUCGCGUCUGGAAAGAUUUAUCGGUGAAGGAUGGGCUCGCGCCUAUCAGCUUGUGUGGGUAGUGGCCCACCAAGGCGACGACGGGUAGCCGG
rnacentral:rRNA from 1 species